GACGAACCGUGCGAACGUUGUUCGGAUUCACUGGGCUUAAAGGGCGCGUAGGCGGUCUGUUAAGUUCGGUGUGAAAUCCCCUGGCUCAACUGGGGAACUGCGCUGGAAACUGGCAGACUCGAGUACCGGAGAGGAGAGUGGAAUUCCUGGUGUAGCGGUGAAAUGCGUAGAUAUCAGGAGGAACACCGGUGGCGAAGGCGGCCCUCUGGACGGAUACUGACGCUGAGGCGCGAAAGCGUGGGGAUCAAACAGG
rnacentral:rRNA from 1 species